rnacentral:misc_RNA from 1 species
AACUAGAAUUCACUCUAAAUGAAUUCUACAUUUCUAGUUCAUUUGAACCAAAUGGGGAGUAAAGCAUCACUUUACUUUUAAUAAAGCCAUCAUUAUAUUAUAUAUAUUGGUACUUACAGUUAGGUACAAACAAUAAGUCAAUAAAUCAUAAAUAAGUUUUCCUUUUGGGGGGAAAAAAAGGAAAAGAAGAGAUUGUGAUUCCAGAGAAACAUGUAAUGGACAGCACCACAAUUAUCUUGUGCAAAUCAUGAACAUGCAGGAGCAUCGAAGUAACAACUGGAAGAAGAUUUACAGAUAAACAGAUAUACAAUUGCAAGUAAAGAUAAGCAAUAGUACACUCUUCCCAAAAACUUCAGUAAAACAAUAAGAAAAAACCACUAAUAUUGUAACACUAAUUAAGCACAUUCCACAUAAAAAUUUUCCCCACAUGCAAAUAGGAUGUAAAUAACAAAAUGUUGCCUGCCAUGGGAAAGUGAAAACCUGCCUUCAAAGUGAGCAUGCAGAGCA